GGAUGUGAAGAUGACCUGCCUGUCACACUCAUCACCCCAUUGGUCACCAGGGCUGAUUCAGUUGAUCUGGAUGGCCAGUGUCCCCUUCCUCCUUUACCUGUGUCCCUCUCAGUGCUGCAUGCAUGCUCAGUCAAAGAAGAUGACUACUCUCAACACAGGAGGACCAUUUCCUCAUCAAGGCUAUAGGAGUAGCUAUGCUCCCCUGCUAGAACCUCCAAACAAGCUCUCAAGGGAAUGAAAUAGACACGAGGGAUUAAAAUAGACACAAAGAACACAUGAAUGCUGUGCCCAAGAACACACUGCUCAGGAACUUC
ensembl:misc_RNA 7SK 7SK RNA